rnacentral:lncRNA from 1 species
AUGGGCUGCGUACGAGGGGUGGCACAAGAUGACAAAAGAGAUGAAGGGUGGCCGGUGUGAGAUUGAUGUUUGCUGUUCUGGUUCCUCUUUUUUUUUCUUUCUUUGUUUUUUUUUCAAAAAAUCAUGAUGAGCAAAUCGUCCCUUAUUUUCUUCAUCUUUGUUCUCUGCCUUAUCUGUGAAAACGACGGCAACAUUCUUCGCUUUCUCAAACAAAGAUACAAGACAGAAUACCUUGCCAUCAGUACUAUAGAAGAUAAAUUAAAAGAUUCCCUACUUCCUAUCCAAAAAGGACCGGUGACUUGAUAUUAUGAAAUUAUUGAAAAAUCAUCGAAGAUCAGAUUUUAAAAAUAAGGAAACGAAAGAGAACUCAAGCGUAAUAACAGUGUUUGUGACAUUAGGAGAUCAGUCGCCAUCUUAAUUUUCCAACUGUUAGAAAAUUAGCAGCAAACAUGAUGCCACAGCCCGUUUCUCAUUUGAUUUAAGCGAAAAGAAUAAAAAGACAACUUCAUACCUGCAGCCUUAUCGAAGAUUUCUCAACCAUGACGGAAGCGGCCACUGAAGAUGAGGGGUCAUGUCUGAUGGCAGUAUCUUGGCGGCCUCAUCGACUGAGAGGUGAUCAGUCCAUGGGCGAUGGCCAUCGGAAACAUGAAAACCAUUCAACGAUUGGUACUCCACACUGCCUUUCAGAGUGGUGCACUUCCA